rnacentral:rRNA from 1 species
ACCAGCAGCUAUAUUACCCUGCAGGUAACAACUGGCAGCCCACUGUAAGUCAGCAGGUGUGAGCCUGGUCAGUAGCUGGAUGGCAGACCUCCUGGGAAAACUAAGGUUGCUGCUGGAA